UUUGGCGGCGUGCUUAACACAUGCAAGUCGAACGAGGUUCAUCUGGUGGCAACACCAGAGAAGACCGAGUGGCGAACGGGUGAGUAACACGUGAGCAACCUGUCCCGAAGACUGGGAUAACACCGGGAAACCGGUGCUAAUACCGGAUACCCCCACCGGGUCGCAUGGUCUGGUGAGGAAAUGCCUGCUUCCUAAAAGAUGCAGACGCUUCGGGAGGGGCUCGCGGCCUAUCAGCUAGAUGGUGGGGUAACGGCCUACCAUGGCGUCGACGGGUAGCUGGUCUGAGAGGACGAUCAGCCACACUGGGACUG
rnacentral:rRNA from 1 species